AUUGAACGCUGGCGGCAGGCUUAACACAUGCAAGUCGAGCGAGCGGCGGACGGGUGAGUAAUGUCUGGGAAACUGCCUGAUGGAGGGGGAUACAUACUGGAAACGUUAGCUAAUACCGCAUACCAUCAGAUUUGCCCAGAUGGGAUUAGCUAGGAGGUGGGGUAAUGGCUCCCCUAGUGGCCGAUCCCUAGCUGGUCUGAGAGGAUGACCAUCCACACUGGAACUGAGACACGGGCCAGACUCCUACGGGAGGCAGCAGUGGGGAAUAUUGCACAAUGGGCGCAAGCCUGAUGCAGCCAUGCCGCGUGUGUGAAGAAGGCCUUCGGGUUGUAAAGCACUUUCAGCGAGGAGGCGUUACUCGCAGAAGAAGCACCGGCUAACUCCGUGCCAGCAGCCGCGGUAAUAC
rnacentral:rRNA from 1 species